rnacentral:rRNA from 1 species
CGAAGGAUGCAAGCGUUAUCCGGAUUCAUUGGGUUUAAAGGGAGCGUAGGUGGACUUAUAAGUCAGUGGUGAAAUCUUCGAGCUUAACUCGGAAACUGCCAUUGAUACUGUAGGUCUAGAGUACAGUUGCCGUUGGCGGAAUAUGACAUGUAGUGGUGAAAUACUUAGAUAUGUCAUAGAACACCGAUUGCGAAGGCAGCUAACGAAGCUGUAACUGACACUGAGGCUCGAAAGUGCGGGGGAUCAAACGGGAUUAGAUACCCUGGUAGUCCGCACUGUAAACGAUGAUUACUCGUUGCUGGGGAGCAAUUUCCAGUGACCAAGCGAAAGCGAUAAGUAAUCCACCUGGGAGUACGCCGGCAACGGUG